rnacentral:rRNA from 1 species
UACGUAGGGUGCGAGCGUUAAUCGGAAUUACUGGCGUAAAGCGUGCGCAGGCGGUGAUGUAAGACCGAUGUGAAAUCCCCGGGCUUAACCUGGGAACUGCAUUGGUGACUGCAUUGCUGGAGUAUGGCAGAGGGGGGUGGAAUUCCACGUGUAGCAGUGAAAUGCGUAGAAGAUGUGGAGGAACACCGAUGGCGAAGGCAGCCCCCCUGGGCCAAUACUGACGCUCAUGCACGAAAGCGUGGGGAGC